rnacentral:rRNA from 1 species
CCUACGGGUGGCAGCAGUAGGGAAUCUUCGGCAAUGGGCGAAAGCCUGACGGAGCAACGCCGCGUGAGUGAUGAAGGUCUUCGGAUCGUAAAACUCUGUUAUCAGGGAAGAACAAAUGUGUAAGUAACUGUGCACAUCUUGACGGUACCUGAUCAGAAAGCCACGGCUAACUACGUGCCAGCAGCCGCGGUAAUACGUAGGUGGCAAGCGUUAUCCGGAAUUAUUGGGCGUAAAGCGCGCGUAGGCGGUUUUUUAAGUCUGAUGUGAAAGCCCACGGCUCAACCGUGGAGGGUCAUUGGAAACUGGAAAACUUGAGUGCAGGAGAGGAAAGUGGAAUUCCAUGUGUAGCGGUGAAAUGCGCAGAGAUAUGGAGGAACACCAGUGGCGAAGGCGGCUCUCUGGUCUGUAACUGACGCUGAGGCGCGAAAGCGUGGGGAGCAAACAGGAUUAGAUACCCGGGUAGUC